rnacentral:rRNA from 1 species
AGUGAACGCUGGCGGUAGGCCUAACACAUGCAAGUCGAACGGCAGCACAGUAAGGGCUUGCUCUUACGGGUGGCGAGUGGCGGACGGGUGAGGAAUACAUCGGAAUCUACUUUUUCGUGGGGGAUAACGUAGGGAAACUUACGCUAAUACCGCAUACGACCUACGGGUGAAAGCAGGGGAUCUUCGGACCUUGCGCGAUUGAAUGAGCCGAUGUCGGAUUAGCUAGUUGGCGGGGUAAAGGCCCACCAAGGCGACGAUCCGUAGCUGGUCUGAGAGGAUGAUCAGCAACACUGGAACUGAGACACGGUCCAGACUCCUACGGGAGGCAGCAGUGGGGAAUAUUGGACAAUGGGCGCAAGCCUGAUCCAGCCAUACCGCGUGGGUGAAGAAGGCCUUCGGGUUGUAAAGCCCUUUUGUUGGGAAAGAAAAGCAGCAGGUUAAUACCCCGCUGUUCUGACGGUACCCAAAGAAUAAGCACCGGCUAACUUCGUG